rnacentral:rRNA from 1 species
GACGUAGGUGGCGAACGUUAUCCGGAAUCAUUGGGCGUAAAGGGUGCGUAGAUGGCAUGAUAAGUUGUUAGUGGGAAAUCGAGGCUCAACCUCGUGGAAGCUAGUAAUACUGUUUUGCUUGAGUACAGAAGAGGUUAACGGAACUCCAUGUGGAGCGGUAAAAUGCGUAGAUAUAUGGAAGAACAUCAAUAACGGCGAAGGCAGUUAACUAUUCUGUUACUGACAUUGAGGCACGAAAGCGUGGGGAGCAAAACGG